UACAGAGGUCCCGAGCGUUGUUCGGAUUCACUGGGCGUAAAGGGUGCGUAGGUGGUGAGGUAAGUCGGAUGUGAAAGCUCGGAGCUCAACUCCGAAAUGGCAUUGGAAACUACCUUGCUCGAGGGUUGGAGGGGGACUGGAAUGCUUGGUGUAGCAGUGAAAUGCGUAGAUAUUGGAAAGACCACCGAUGGCGAAGGCACUCUACUGGGCCAUUACUGACACUGAGAGACGAAAGCUAGGAGAGCAAAUGGG
rnacentral:rRNA from 1 species